GGGGCUGUGGCUCAUGGAUAGAGCGCCUGCCUCACAUGCAUGAGGCACUGGGUUUGAUCCUCAGCACCA
rnacentral:tRNA from 1 species